rnacentral:rRNA from 1 species
GAUGAACGCUGGCGGCGUGCCUAAUACAUGCAAGUCGAGCGAACAGACGAGGAGCUUGCUCCUCUGACGUUAGCGGCGGACGGGUGAGUAACACGUGGAUAACCUACCUAUAAGACUGGAUAACUUCGGGAAACCGGAGCUAAUACCGGAUAAUAUAUUUAACCGCAUGGUUCCAUAGUGAAAGACGGUUUUGCUGUCACUUAUAGAUGGAUCCGCGCCGCAUUAGCCAGUUGGUAAGGUAACGGCUUACCAAGGCAACGAUGCGUAGCCGACCUGAGAGGGUGAUCGGCCACACUGGAACUGAGACACGGUCCAGACUCCUACGGGAGGCAGCAGUAGGGAAUCUUCCGCAAUGGGCGAAAGCCUGACGGAGCAACGCCGCGUGAGUGAUGAAGGUCUUCGGAUCGUAAAACUCUGUUAUUAGGGAAGAACAAAUGUGUAAGUAACUAUGCACGUCUUGACGGUACCUAAUCAGAAAGCCACGGCUAACUACGUG